UCCCUGGAAGGGUUUAGUAAAUCUAGAGGAAGUGUUACCCGCGUCGGACCGUGUAUAAUUCUCCUGGAAUGGAGCGUCAUAGAGGGUGAGAAUCCCGUCUUUGACACGGACUACCGAGGCUUUUGUGGUGCGCUCUCAACGAGUCGAGUUGUUUGGGAAUGCAGCUCAAAAUGGGUGGUAAAUUCCAUCUAAAGCUAAAUAUUGGCGAGAGACCGAUAGCGAACAAGUACCGUGAGGGAAAGAUGAAAAGAACUUUGGAAAGAGAGUUAAACAGUACGUGAAAUUGCUGAAAGGGAAACGCUUGAAGUCAGUCGCGUUGGCCGGAAAUCAACCUUGCUUCUGCUGGGUGUACUUUCUGGUUAACGGGCCAGCAUCAGUUUUGACCGGUGGAAAAAGUCCAAGGGAAUGUGGCAUCUCUGGAUGUGUUAUAGCCCUUGGUCGUAUACACCGGUUGGGACUGAGGAAUUCAGCACGCCGCAGGCCGGGUCUUUGACCACGUUCGUGCUUAGGAUGCUGGCAUAAAUGGCUUUAAUCGACCCGUCUUGAAACACGGACCAAGGAGUCUAACAUGCCUGCGAGUGUUUGGGUGAAAAACCCGAGCGCGUAAUGAAAGUGAAAGUUGGGAUCCUUGUCAUGGGGAGCACCGACCCCGGACCAGACGUACUCUGACGGCUCCGCGUUAAAGCAUGUAUUUGGGACCCCGAAAGAUGUGUGACUAUGCCUGAAUAGGGUGAAGCCCGAGGAAACUCUGGUGGAGGCUCGUAGCGAUCCUGACGUGCAAAUCGAUCGUCGAAAUUUGGGUAUAGGGGCGAAAGACUAGUCGAACCAUCUCUGUAGCCUGGUUCCUGCCGAAAUUUUCCCUCAAGGACAUUA
rnacentral:rRNA from 1 species